AACGAACGCUGGCGGCAUGCCUAACACAUGCAAGUCGAACGAGACCUUCGGGUCUAGUGGCGCACGGGUGCGUAACGCGUGGGAAUCUGCCCCUUGGUUCGGAAUAACAGCUAGAAAUGGCUGCUAAUACCGGAUGACGACGUAAGUCCAAAGAUUUAUCGCCGAGGGAUGAGCCCGCGUAGGAUUAGCUAGUUGGUGUGGUAAAGGCGCACCAAGGCGACGAUCCUUAGCUGGUCUGAGAGGAUGAUCAGCCACACUGGGACUGAGACACGGCCCAGACUCCUACGGGAGGCAGCAGUGGGGAAUAUUGGACAAUGGGCGCAAGCCUGAUCCAGCAAUGCCGCGUGAGUGAUGAAGGCCUUAGGGUUGUAAAGCUCUUUUACCCGGGAUGA
rnacentral:rRNA from 1 species